rnacentral:rRNA from 1 species
GUUAGGAAUAUUGGACAAUGGGCGCAAGCCUGAUCCAGCCAUGCCGCGUGAGUGAUGAAGGCCUUCGGGUUGUAAAGCUCUUUAGCCGAUGAUUAUAAUGACUGUAGUCGGAAAAUAAGCCCCGGCUAACUUCGUGCCAGCAGCCGCGGUAAUACGAAUGGGGCGAGCGUUAUUCGGAAUCACUGGGCGUAAAGCGUGCGUAGGCUGCUUUGCAAGUUGGGAGUGAAAGCCCAGAGCUCAACCCUGGAAUUGCUCUCAAAACUGCAAGGCUCGAAUUCGGGAGAGGAUAGCGGAAUUGUCAGUGUAGCAGUGAAAUGCGUAGAUAUUGACAGGAACACCAGUGGCGUAAGCGGCUAUCUGGACCGAUAUUGACGCUGAGGCACGAAAGCGUGGGGAUCAAACAGGAUUAGAAACCCCGGUAGUCC